rnacentral:rRNA from 1 species
CCUACGGGAGGCAGCAGUGGGGAAUAUUGGGCAAUGGGCGCAAGCCUGACCCAGCAAUGCCGCGUGAAGGAAGAAGGCUUUCGGGUUGUAAACUUCUUUGACAGGGGAAGAGCAGAAGACGGUACCCGGAAAACAAGACACGGCUAACGACGAGCCAGCAGCCGCGGUAAUACGUAGGGGGCAAGCGUUGUCCGGAUUUACUGGGUGUAAAGGGCGUUUAGCCGGGAAGGCAAGUCAGAUGUGAACUCUGGAGGCGCAACCUCCAAAUGGCAUUUGAAACUGUUUUUCUUGAGUACUGGAGAGUCAGCCGGAAUUCCUUGUGUAGCGGUGAACUGCGUAGAUCUCAGGAGGACCACCAGUGGCGACGGCGGUCUGCUGGACAGCACCUGACGGUGAGGCGCGAAAGCGUGGGGAGCAAACAGGCUUAGAUACCCUUGUAGUC